rnacentral:misc_RNA from 1 species
UCCGAGUUGACCCCGGCAGUCUCCCAUGAGUCCCCACCAUAACGUGCUGGCAACAUGGAACGAGGGUUGCGCUCGUUGCGGGACUUAACCCAACAUCUCACGACACGAGCUGACGACAACCAUGCACCACCUGUGAACCAGCCCCAAAGGGGAAACCGUGUUUCCACGGCGGUCUGGCACAUGUCAAGCCUUGGUAAGGUUCUUCGCGUUGCAUCGAAUUAAUCCGCAUGCUCCGCCGCUUGUGCGGGCCCCCGUCAAUUCCUUUGAGUUUUAGCCUUGCGGCCGUACUCCCCAGGCGGGGCACUUAAUGCGUUAGCUACGGCGCGGAAAACGUGGAAUGUCCCCCACACCUAGUGCCCAACGUUUACGGCAUGGACUAC